GAGGGUAUAGCUCAGUGGUAAAGCAAGAGCUUGGCAUGCACAAGGUCCUGAGUUCAAUCCCCAGUACCUCCA
rnacentral:tRNA from 1 species